CCUACGGGAGGCAGCAGUGGGGAAUUUUGGACAAUGGGCGCAAGCCUGAUCCAGCAAUGCCGCGUGCAGGAUGAAGGCCUUCGGGUUGUAAACUGCUUUUGUACGGAACGAAACGGUGAGCUCUAAUACAGUUUGCUAAUGACGGUACCGUAAGAAUAAGCACCGGCUAACUACGUGCCAGCAGCCGCGGUAAUACGUAGGGUGCGAGCGUUAAUCGGAAUUACUGGGCGUAAAGCGUGCGCAGGCGGUGAUGUAAGACAGAUGUGAAAUGCCCGGGCUCAACCUGGGACCUGCAUUUGUGACUGCAUCGCUAGAGUACGGUAGAGGGGGAUGGAAUUCCGCGUGUAGCAGUGAAAUGCGUAGAUAUGCGGAGGAACACCGAUGGCGAAGGCAAUCCCCUGGACCUGUACUGACGCUCAUGCACGAAAGCGUGGGGAGCAAACAGGAUUAGAUACCCUGGUAGUCCACGCCCUAAACGAUGUCAACUGGUUGUUGGGGUCUUUCACUACGUACCUACGUAACGUAAACGACGUAACGUAACCGUCGGUAGGUUAAGUUACCGGACCCGUCCGGGGUAGGGGUAACGGGUCCGGCCCGACGUAGGUAACGUUAAACGUAAAGUAGUUAGGCGNGAGAGAGCGACGGACGGACGACGAGGGAGGGAGGAG
rnacentral:rRNA from 1 species